rnacentral:rRNA from 1 species
GACGAACGCUGGCGGCGUGCUUAACACAUGCAAGUCGAACGGAAAGGCCCUGCUUUUGUGGGGUGCUCGAGUGGCGAACGGGUGAGUAACACGUGAGUAACCUGCCCUUGACUUUGGGAUAACUUCAGGAAACUGGGGCUAAUACCGGAUAGGAGCUCCUGCUGCAUGGUGGGGGUUGGAAAGUUUCGGCGGUUGGGGAUGGACUCGCGGCUUAUCAGCUUGUUGGUGGGGUAGUGGCUUACCAAGGCUUUGACGGGUAGCCGGCCUGAGAGGGUGACCGGCGACCUUGGGACUGCGAUACGGCGCAGACUCCUACGGGAGGCAGCAGUGGGGAAUAUUGCCCAAUGGGCGGAAGCGUGAUACAGCAACGCCGCGUGCGGGAUGACGGCCUUCGGGUUGUAAACCGCUUUCGCCUGUGACGAAGCGUGAGUGACGGUAAUGAGUAAAGAAGCACCGGCUAACUACGUG